UUUCAGCAGAGCCAAGGAAUGGGAGGCGCCCUAGCCUCCCCGCAGGCCACAGCGCUGGGACUCCUGCCUUCCCUGCUAUCUCCCUGAGGCAAGGGGUUGGAGGUUAGCACGGAGUGUUUCUCAAUCAUUUUCCACCUUACAUUUUAAGACAUGGUGUGUCACUGAACCUGGAACUCACCAACUCUGCUAGACUGGUUCUGACAAUUGCUCUAGCACAGAUGAACUUUGAGGGCAUUAAGCCCACUGAAAUAAGCCAGUGACAAAAAGACAAAUGUUGUGAUCACACUUAAAUAAGGUAAGUAGACUGUCGGUCAAGCAGGUAGGGGCAGAAAGCAGAACGCUAGCCGCUAGGGGAUGUGGGGAGGGCAGAAUGGGCAUUUGUUGUUUAAUGGAUGUAAAGGUUCAGUUUUGCAAAAGGAAAAGGUGAGGCUGAGGACAUUGCUCUCUAGCAGAACGCUCACCUAGCAUUUCUGAGACCUGAGUUCAAUGUCCAACAGCUCAUGCACACACACAUGCACAGGAGAAAGAAGGGAAAGAAGCUACCCUUUUACUUAAAAAAUGUAUUUAUUUUUAUUUUAUGUGUGUGUGCCUGAGCUGCAAGUGCCCACUGAGUGCAGAAGAAAGUGUUGGAUCUCCUGAAACUGGAGUUACACGUGCUUGUGAGCCACCUGAUGUGCUGAGAGCGGUCCUUAGGCCUCUGCAAUAGCAGCAAGUCCUAUGUAAUGCCUCAUAAUGACUUUUGUUUAGACAACAAAUUAUUUUUUUAAGAUAUUUACACAAAUAAAAGAUAUUUUGAAAAUUCUUAUAGGGCUCGGGUAUGGCUACAUAAAGCCAUGGGUUCCAUCAUCAGUGCAAGAAGAAAUAAAUGAACUUAUAUUUAUCAAAUG